GAUGAACGCUGGCGGCGUGCCUAAUACAUGCAAGUCGAGCGAACAGAUGAGGAGCUUGCUCCGCGGACGUGAGCGGCGGACGGGUGUGUAACGCGUGGAUAACCUACCUAUAAGACGGGGAUAACUUCGGGAAAGCGGAGCUAAUACCGGAGAAUAUCUUGAAGCGCAGGGUUCGAUGGAGAGAGACGGUUGUGGGGGCAGGUAUAGAGGGUUCCGCGCCGCAGUGGAUGGUUGGUAAGGUAACGGCUUACCAAGGCAAGUAGGCGUAACCGACCGGAGAGGGUGAUCGGCCACCCGGGAGGUGAGCCGCGGUCCAGGGGCCUACGGGAGGCCGCAGUAGGGAAUCGUCCGCAAUGGGCGGAAGCCUGGCGGAGCGACGCCGCGUGAGUGGCGGCGAUCUUCCGAGCGUAAAGCCCUGUUACUGGUUGAGAACAACUGUGUAAGGAACUAUGCCCGUCUUGACGGUAACGAAUCAGAAAGCCCCGGCUAACUACGUG
rnacentral:rRNA from 1 species